rnacentral:rRNA from 1 species
UACGGAGGGUGCAAGCGUUAUCCGGAUUCACUGGGUUUAAAGGGUGCGUAGGCGGGCAGGUAAGUCCGUGGUGAAAUCUCCAAGCUUAACUUGGAAACUGCCGUGGAUACUAUUUGUCUUGAAUAUAGUGGAGGUGAGGACGUAAUAUGUCAUGUAGCGGUAGAAAUUGACUUAGAUAUGAACAUAGAAACACCCCAUUGCGAAGGCAGCUCGCUACACUAUUAUUGACGCUGAGGCACGAAAGCGUGGGGAUCAAACAGG